rnacentral:rRNA from 1 species
AGAAUCAACGCUGGCGGCGUGCCUAACACAUGCAAGUCGAACGAGAAAGUGGAGCAAUCCAUGAGUAAAGUGGCGCACGGGUGAGUAACACGUGACUAACCUACCUUUUAGUGGGGGAUAACCUAGGGAAACCUGGGCUAAUACCGCAUAACACUUACGAGUCAAAGCAGCAAUGCGCUGAAAGAGGGGGUCGCGGCCGAUUAGCUUGUUGGUGAGGUAACGGCUCACCAAGGCUUCGACGGGUAGCUGGCCUGAGAGGACGAUCAGCCACACUGGGACUGAGACACGGCCCAGACUCCUACGGGAGGCAGC